ensembl:rRNA 5S_rRNA 5S ribosomal RNA
GUCUAGGGCCAUACCCUCCUGAAAGCACCCAAUCUUGUCUGAUCUCGGAAGAUAAGCAGGUUCAGAUCUGAUUAGAAUUUUGGAUGGGAGAAAGACUGAUAAUACUAAGUA